rnacentral:rRNA from 1 species
AAAAACAUGUCUUUUUGGUUACUUAAUAUAAAGUCUGACCUGCCCACUGAAUUUAGUUUUGAAGGGCCGCAGUAUUUUGACUGUGCAAAGGUAGCAUAAUCAUUAGUCUUUUAAUUGAAGGCUGGUAUGAAUGGUUGGAUGAGGUACAAGCUGUGUCAUAAAAAUUAAUAUUUGAAUUUAACUUUUUAGUCAAAAGGCUAAAAUUUAAUUGAAAGACGAGAAGACCCUAUAGAGCUUUAUACAAUGAUUAUUUAAUUUAUUAAGAUUUAUUAAAUUUAAUUAUUUUAUUGUAUUUUGUUGGGGUGACAAUAAAAUUUAAAAAACUUUUAUUAUUAUUUUACAUUUAUUUAUGACCUUAUGAUCCAGUUUUAUUGAUUAUAAAUUUAAGUUACCUUAGGGAUAACAGCGUAAUUUUUUUUGAGAGUUCAUAUCGACAAAAAAGAUUGCGACCUCGAUGUUGGAUUAAGAGUAAUUUUGGGUGUAGAAG